rnacentral:rRNA from 1 species
UGCCUACGGGAGGCAGCAGUCGGGAAUUUUCCGCAAUGGGCGCAAGCCUGACGGAGCAACGCCGCGUGCGGGAUGACGCCCUUCGGGGUGUAAACCGCUUUUCGGGGGGACGAAGGCAGUGACGGUACCCCCGGAAGAAGGCCCGGCUAACUACGUGCCAGCAGCCGCGGUAAGACGUAGGGGCCGAGCGUUGUCCGGAGUUACUGGGCGUAAAGGGCGCGCAGGCGGCCGGUCGCAUCGGCGGUGAAAGCCCCCCGCGCAACGGGGGAGGGUCCGUCGAGAUGGAGCGGCUGGAGGCAGGGAGAGGGCGGUGGAAUUCCGGGUGUAGUGGUGAAAUGCGUAGAGAUCCGGAGGAACACCAGUGGCGAAGGCGGCCGCCUGGACCUGACCUGACGCUGAGGCGCGAAGGCGUGGGGAGCGAACGGGAUUAGAUACCCGGGUAGUCA